rnacentral:rRNA from 1 species
CCUGGUAGCGGGGGAUAACUAAUUGGAAACGAUAGCUAAUACCGCAUAAUAUUGAUUAUUGCAUGAUAGUUGAUUGAAAGAUGCUAUUGCAUCACUACCAGAUGGACCUGCGUUGUAUUAGCUAGUAGGUGAGGUAACGGCUCACCUAGGCGACGAUACAUAGCCGACCUGAGAGGGUGAUCGGCCACACUGGGACUGAGACACGGCCCAG